GGUACCUACGGGACGCAGCAGUGGGGAAUAUUGCACAAUGGGGGAAACCCUGAUGCAGCGACGCCGCGUGAGUGAAGAAGUAUUUCGGUAUGUAAAGCUCUAUCAGCAGGAACGAGACAAGACGGUACCUGACUAAGAAGCCCCGGCUAACUACGUGCCAGCAGCCGCGGUAAUACGUAGGGGGCAAGCGUUAUCCGGAAUCACUGGGUGUAAAGGGAGCGUAGACGGCUGAGCAAGCCUGAAGUGAAAGGCGGGGCCCCAACCCCCGGCCUCCUUUGGGAAUUGAACGGCUG
rnacentral:rRNA from 1 species